UACGAAGGGUGCAAGCGUUAAUCGGAAUUACUGGGCGUAAAGCGUGCGUAGGCGGUGAGUUAAGUCUGUCGUGAAAUCCCCCGGGCUCAACCUGGGAAUGGCGAUGGAUACUGGCUCGCUAGAGUGUGAUAGAGGAUGGUGGAAUUCCCGGUGUAGCGGUGAAAUGCGUAGAGAUCGGGAGGAACAUCAGUGGCGAAGGCGGCCAUCUGGAUCAACACUGACGCUGAGGCACGAAAGCGUGGGGAGCAAACAGG
rnacentral:rRNA from 1 species